rnacentral:lncRNA from 1 species
GGCAGGUCUCGAACUCCCGACCUCAGGUGAUCCACCUGCCUCUCCAGCCUGGGCAACAAGAGUGAAACUCCGUCUCAAAAAAAAAAAAAAAAAAAAAAAAGAAGAAGGACAGAAAGAAAAAAGAGCAAGAUUAUGAGACAAAACUGUGGGAUGCCUAGAGAAAUAGGCUCAUUGUUCGGCAUCCAGGAAUAGUGGCCAGACUCACUCCCAGGACUGGCCUCAUCAGGGAAGAAGUGCCUCUUUAACUGGACACCUCUCCUGCAACCUUGUUGGUGGUUUGGAUGCCCCUCAUGAAGCUCAUGUUCUCAGGCUACUCACAGUCAACUCAAAAUCUAGUAUAGAUAUGGAUGAUUGACAGAACUUAGGGCACAUUUGCACCCUGGCUGCUAGGAAGGCUGGGAAGCGGGGUGUUCCAAAUGUGGGAAACUAGCAAAAUGUAGAGAGGGUAUUGUAAAGAUGACA